UGGGGAAUUUUGGACAAUGGGCGAAAGCCUGAUCCAGCAAUGCCGCGUGUGUGAAGAAGGCCUUCGGGUUGUAAAGCACUUUUGUCCGGAAAGAAAUCCUUGGCUCUAAUACAGUCGGGGGAUGACGGUACCGGAAGAAUAAGCACCGGCUAACUACGUGCCAGCAGCCGCGGUAAUACGUAGGGUGCAGGCGUUAAUCGGAAUUACUGGGCGUAAAGCGUGCGCAGGCGGUUUGCUAAGACCGAUGUGAAAUCCCCGGGCUCAACCUGGGAACUGCAUUGGUGACUGGCAGGCUAGAGUAUGGCAGGAGGGGGGUAGAAUUCCACGUGUAGCAGUGAAAUGCGUAGAGAUGUGGAGGAAUACCGAUGGCGAAGGCAGCCCCCUGGGCCAAUACUGACGCUCAUGCACGAAAGCGUGGGGAGCAAACAGGAUUAGAUACCCUGGUAGUCCACGCCCUAAAACGAUGUCAACUAGUUGUUGGGGAUUCAUUUUCCUUAGUAACGUAGCUAACGCGUGAAGUUGACCGCCUGGGGAGUACGGUCGCAAGAUUAAAACUUCAAAUGAAUUGACGGGGUCAUAGCUGUUUCCU
rnacentral:rRNA from 1 species